GAAACACAGAAUCAAUGUGAAUCUGAGUGAAAAUAAAUAAACAAAUAAAGAAUGUGAGACAGAUUUUGAACAGUGGGCAGUGGGCUUGCUAUAUUGCACAUCAUAAUUACAGGACUAGAAAAAUAGUUUUUUUAUUCAAGAAAUGAAAAUCAAGCAUUGUAGUUAUCACAAAGUCAUCUAAAGCUUGAACUAUAGUAUUACUAAAGAAAUAUUACACAUGGAAAGGUGGAGAUGAUUGCUGAGGUUUGUCACAAUGAAAUAGAACUAUUU
rnacentral:misc_RNA from 1 species